rnacentral:rRNA from 1 species
CUUUCAACAACGGAUCUCUUGGUUCUGGCAUCGAUGAAGAACGCAGCGAAAUGCGAUAAGUAAUGUGAAUUGCAGAAUUCAGUGAAUCAUCGAAUCUUUGAACGCACAUUGCGCCCCCUGGUAUUCCGGGGGGCAUGCCUGUUCGAGCGCGCA